CAGGCGCGUCCAACUAUCCAAGCCACGAACGCUUGUCCCGCAGGCCACGAACGCUCGUACCGAAGGCCACAUCCAAACCACCUAACUUCCCUAUCCUCAGUGGCAUCCCUUACCCAGCACUAAAACAAAACACUGUCACUCCCUCAAACAUUCCAAAAUACCCAUUGACCCCACUGUCCCGUGGACCACCUCCAUGACUCGGCAACGCCGAAAUGGCAGUCGUCCGAAGCUGUAGCGGACUUUGUCCGAAUGAGAAUGGUUGAGGUUGAAACCAAUCACGUUACAUUUUUAACUCAUAUUUUCGGUUGUUCUGAUUUUCCACCAGAAGCGGUUUGUCUUGGAGCUUCAGUGCAUGGUUUGAUUGCGAACAAUGUCAUGAUGAGCAUGGCCCUCAUCGACUUGCACUUGAAGUGUGGUCGUAUGAAUCUCGCACGAUUCGUGUUUGAUGACAUGCAUGUGAAGAAUUCGGUUUCUUGGAACACAACGAUUGAUGAGUAUAUGAGAAAUGGGAGAGUUGAUGAUGCAAUCAUGCUGUUUGCUGAAAUGCCGCAGAAAAACACUAUUUCCUACACUAUUUUGGUUGGUGGACUUGUCAAGAAAGGUCAAUUUGAGCUUGCGCUGGAAUGGUUUUGGCACAAUGCGGAUGUCGGGGGUGGAGGCUCAUUAACUGAUGUGUUUUCUCAAACCGGAUGUAUUGGGUUGGCUUAUUAAGUUUUUUGAGAAUAUCCACAUGAAGCUUGGUCACAUGCAACUCUAUGUGGGAUUUGUGGCAAAUGAUUAUGCAGAGGGGGUUAUGGAAUUCUUUGAUAUGAUCCAGAAGGAGGGAUUCAAGCCAAAUGAAGUCAAAUUUGCAGGAACUCUUAUUGCUUGUAGCGAUGCUGAGUUAGUCGAUAAAGGUCCGUAGUUCUACAAGAUCAAGACAAGCAGUGGCAGAUCUGGAAAUCAAGGUAACCUAGAGAGGCGUGCAAGCCGGCUCAGAGAUAGAGGAGGCGGCUGAGUCGGCGUAUUUUUGGGGUGAGUUUUGGGCUAUGUGGUAGAGCCCACAGUAUUUUUGAGGAGUUUUGAGGAAAGGAUGUAUAUGUGUGUAUGUAUAUAUAGAUAGGUCUGUAGAACUUUGGUAUUGUGUAUUUUGGGUUAUGUUUUGGAUGUUA